rnacentral:rRNA from 1 species
GACGAACGCUGGCGGCGUGCUUAGCACAUGCAAGUCGAACGGAAAGGCCCUGCUUUUGUGGGGUGCUCGAGUGGCGAACGGGUGAGUAACACGUGAGUAACCUGCCCUUGACUUUGGGAUAACUUCAGGAAACUGGGGCUAAUACCGGAUAGGAGCUCCUGCUGCAUGGUGGGGGUUGGAAAGUUUCGGCGGUUGGGGAUGGACUCGCGGCUUAUCAGCUUGUUGGUGGGGUAGUGGCUUACCAAGGCUUUGACGGGUAGCCGGCCUGAGAGGGUGACCGGCCACAUUGGGACUGGGAUACCGCCCAGACUCCUACGGGAGGCAGCAGUGGGGAAUAUUGCACAAUGGGCGGAAGCCUGAUGCAGCAACGCCGCGUGCGGGAUGACGGCCUUCGGGUUGUAAACCGCUUUCGCCUGUGACGAAGCGUGAGUGACGGUAAUGGGUAAAGAAGCACCGGCUAACUACGUG